rnacentral:lncRNA from 1 species
AUUGCAUAUUUGCUGUAACAAUUUACUAAGUUUACAGCUUUAACUUAGUAUCCCUCAUGUUAGCUUACCUAAUAGUUAAGGGAAGCACUAUUUGGCAAGAUAUUAUUUAUUCAUAAUAUUAGUAUUCAUAACAUAAAAUAUUUCACAAAAUAUAUUUGAUAAAUUAUUAUGAUUAUACACAUACAUUACAUUUUGCUUCUUUUUCUCUUUUUCAUAGUAUUUUUUUUUUCCGGAAUCAACUCCGUUAUCGGUAUGAUCCGUGUUUCCAUUAGUAUUGGGCACAGUGUUGUUUUUCGCAUGUGCGUUAUCGGGUAUAGUUUUGAUGUGUGUCGUCUAAAUUAUAUAAAUAUUAUCCACUGGAUUUAACGAUUAUAUAUGGUGAGUUUACUAUUCAAGUUUUCUUUAAUUAUCUACUGAUCUUUUUUUGUCGAAAUGUAUGUGUGUAAUUCACAAAUAGGUAAUUUAAGUGUAACAAGUUGGAACACUCGACAUCCGAAAUGAUACAUUAUUUUUCCACAUUAAUUAAUAAACGUACGGAUACAUUUAUACUAUAACAAUUCUUUUUAUCUUUUUGUAAAUACACAUUUUAAAAUAUAAAAAAUGCAGUAUAAUUUACAUGUGGUGACUCAUGCAUGGCUGAACAUGCUUACAAACAUUGAACAUGCAUGGUUGAACUUGAUUAUAAAUAUUACCAUAUUUGUCUUGUGUACAAUAAUCAAUUUGUGUACACAAUGUUUUGUGCUUCGUAAAAAGAUUAGUCCUGAUUCAAUUGAAUCUUUGCAAUGAAUCUAUUUGUUUUUAGAAUUAUCUGAUUAGUUUUUUUGUUAUUAAAGUUGUU